AACGUGAUCCGGAUAUUGUUGGGCGGAAAGGCUUGACAGCCGUUUUUUAAGUCUGAGUGAAAGCCCCCGGCUCAACCGGGGAGGGUCAUUGGAACCGGGAAUCUUGCGCGCAGAGGAGUAGAGUGGCAUUCCCCGCGUGCUGUGGGGUGGGUAGCCAUGUGGAGGUACACCAUUGGCGAAGGCGACUUUAUGGUCCGUAACUUAUAUCAGGAGCGAAAGCCUGGGGAGCGAACAUGAUUAGAUACCCUGGUAGUCCACGCCGUAAUCGAUGAGUGUUAUGUUUUAGGGGGUUUCCGCCCUUUAGUGUUGCAGUUAAAGCACAAGCACUCUGCUUGGGGAGUACGGUCGCAAGUCUGAAACUCCAAGGAAUUGACGGGGGGCCGCUCAAGCGGUGGAGCAUGUGGUUUAAUUGGAAGCAACUUGAAGAACCUUACCAGGUCUUGACAUCCUCUGACAACCCUAGAGAUAGGGCUUUCCCUUCGGGGACAGAGUGACAGGUGGUGCAUGGUUGUCGUCAGCUCGUGUCGUGAGAUGUUGGGUUAAGUCCCGCAACGAGCGCAACCCUUGAUCUUAGUUGCCAGCAUUCAGUUGGGCACUCUAAGGUGACUGCCGGUGACAAACCGGAGGAAGGUGGGGAUGACGUCAAAUCAUCAUGCCCCUUAUGACCUGGGCUACACACGUGCUACAAUGGACAGAACAAAGGGCUGCGAGACCGCAAGGUUUAGCCAAUCCCACAAAUCUGUUCUCAGUUCGGAUCGCAGUCUGCAACUCGACUGCGUGAAGCUGGAAUCGCUAGUAAUCGCGGAUCAGCAUGCCGCGGUGAAUACGUUCCCGGGCCUUGUACACACCGCCCGUCACACCACGAGAGUUUGCAACACCCGAAGUCGGUGAGGUAACCUUUAUGGAGCCAGCCGCCGAAUAGUGGGGCAGAUGUAUUAAGUGAACUAUUAUCAGCGUAGGCCAACCAA
rnacentral:rRNA from 1 species